ACGGGAGGCAGCAGUGGGGGAUAUUGCACAAUGGGGGAAACCCUGAUGCAGCGACGCCGCGUGAGUGAAGAAGUAUUUCGGUAUGUAAAGCUCUAUCAGCAGGGAAGAUAAUGACAGUACCUGACUAAGAAGCCCCGGCUAACUACGUGCCAGCAGCCGCGGUAAUACGUAGGGGGCAAGCGUUAUCCGGAUUUACUGGGUGUAAAGGGAGCGUAGGCGGCCAUGCAAGUCAGAAGUGAAAACCCGGGGCUCAACCUCGGGACUGCUUUUGAAACUGUAAGGCUAGAGUGUCGGAGAGGUAAGUGGAAUUCCUAGUGUAGCGGUGAAAUGCGUAGAUAUUAGGAGGAACACCAGUGGCGAAGGCGGCUUACUGGACGAUAACUGACGCUGAGGCUCGAAAGCGUGGGGAGCAAACAGGAUUAGAUACCCUGGUA
rnacentral:rRNA from 1 species